GGAGAAUGUCAGUGAGGUAACUGUAGGGGACACUGUAAUCCCAGUUUUUAUGCCAGAUUGCGGAGAAUGUGGAGAUUGCAUAUCUAGCAAGAGCAACCUUUGCAGCAACUUCCCUUUUGAAGUUGUUCCCUGGUUGCAUAGAGACCAGAAAAGCAGAUUCACUGACCUUAAUGGAGAAACUUUGCAUCAUUUCUUAUAUAUUUCAAGUUUCAGCGAGUAUACGGUGGUGGAUAUUGUUCACAUUGUUAAAGUUGAUUCUAGGAUCCCACCGAAUAGGGGAUGCCUCCUCAGUUGCGGAGUAUCCACAGGUACUCUAUUGUUUUAUUAGUCAGUAGUCACAUGCAUGAGAUAUUCAGUUCCUUCAUAUUUCAAGCAUUCUUAGUAAUUCAUAUUACCGUCUGUGAACCUUGCUAUUCCUAAAUCAAAGUCAUCCUUUUAGGGGUAGGUGCUGCCUUGAAAACUGCAAAUGUGGAAGCUGGAUCGACUGUCGCCAUCUUUGGACUUGGUGCUAUAGGAUUGGCUGUAUGAUUCUGCAGUCUUUUCUGAAUUUGUUUAAUUUAAUAAAUGUGAUAUAACUUGGCUCUGGUGUGGAUAAAAAGUUUGGGAUAUGAUGUAUGUCAUAGGUCUCAGAAGGAUCAAGACUUUGUGGAGCAAAACGAAUAAUUGGUGUCGAUGUGAAUGAAGACAAAUAUGAGAUAGGUAAUAAAUUCAUGUGGAACUUUCUUUUUGGUCAUUAUUAAGUGAAAUACAGUGAUCUGUUGGCUGAUAUACUAGAUCAAUGUUUCCUGGAUCUUGCACUAGUGAUAGAUGGACCAAUUGUCCAUUACAACUUGUAAUGGACUGGUUUUUGUAAAAUUUUAGAUCCUUGGUGGAAAAAAAUUAAUGCAGCCCCGGUGGUUUAGCAAACCUGGGUCCCACCCCUGAUUACAAGCUAUAACUAAUUGAGUCUGGUUGAUAAACGAAUUCUUAAUAGCUUUUAAAUUGACUCCCGUUGUUCUCAUGCAGCAAAAAAAUUUGGAGUGACGGAUUUUGUAAACUCUCUCACAUGUGGCGAAAAAUCUGUGAGCCAGGUACACUAAACCUGGCAACUUGCACAGAGUUUUGUAUAUUCAUUUGACUCUUUUUUAUUACUUUUAAUAUUUGUAUAUUAGCUAUCUUCAAAUACAUCAGACUGCUAACACGGGGAGGGGAAAUGAGAAUUCAUACCUACUUUGGCCAUUAUUUACUUUGAAAUAUAUAUGAACUAUGGUUAUGUUUCUGAGAAUCAUUAUACAUAUAUUGUUAGUUAUAAUAAUUUGUCUCUCAUAUUAUAUCUUCAGGUGAUUUUAGAGAUGACUGAUGGUGGCGCAGACUAUUGCUUUGAAUGUGUUGGUAUGGCAUCCUUAGUGCAUGAGGCUUUCACUUGCUGCCGAAAGGUGUCACAAUUUCCUUUGCACUGCUGUAAUUAAUAAUCCGCGUUUAACAUUGCUCUAAAAACCCUGUGCCUGAUUUUUUCUGUCCCAUCCAUCAUCUUUGGCCUUUCUUGAGAUGAAUUAACCUAUUGGGUAGAUCAUAAACUCUAUAUGAAUUAACAUUAAGUAGACGCAAUAAUUAAGAAGGAUAAUUAUAACUUUUAUAUGAUGAAAUAUUGUGCUUCCCUCACGAAGACAUAUAUUGAUGAGUUUCUUAUUAUACAUUUGCAGGGAUGGGGGAAGACGGUUGUUUUGGGAGUGGAUAAGCCAGGCUCAAACUUGACCUUGUCUUCUGGUGAGGUUCUUCGGUCAGGAAAGACUCUCACAGGAUGCCUGUUUGGAAGCCUUAAACCAAAAUCUGAUGUUCCUAUGCUUGUAAAACGAUAUUUGGACAAGGUAUUUAGAUAUCUAUUAGAUUUAACUAUUCAAGGUUGCUUACGUUUACUGAAAUUUUAAUUUACUGAUCAGAACAGAUCAUUUUUUAAAAAGCAGUAAAGAAACUAGUUUGUUCUCCUUGGAAUAAGCCCUUUGGUUGAUCUGAAAUUUCAGGAGCUGGAACUGGAUAAGUUUGCGACUCAUGAAGUCAAGUUUGAAGAUAUCAACAAGGCAUUUGAAUUACUUUUGGAGGGCAAGAGCCUGCGAUGUAUAAUUUGGAUGGACCAAAACAAAUAGGAAAGUUCCUGCAGCCUUCUGCACUCAGCUGCCAGCUGCAAUAAGUGAAGAAAUUCAAGUGUAGUUACAUUUAUAUGCAAUAUUACCCCUUUGAGAUCAAUAAACAUAUCUGGAUUCUGAACGCUUUUAUAAAAUUAUUUAAUUAUUUAAUUAGAAUCUUCCUUGCUCAGUGAUAUUAUUUCAGUUUCAUUUAAUAUUUAUAAAGAAAUUUUUUUCGGUUCAUCAAUAUGCACUUUUAAGUCCUUGAACGGGCUCUGGUUUCUGUUUCCGAUGAAGAUCAUAGAUUUCGUGUAUACCUCAUUGCUUAGGCAUCCAUACGUAAUAUUCAUCAGACAUCUUACUGAGUAGAUGUGCUUCUUUUACACCAACUUCCCUCUGUAAAUAACCCCCUGCUAUUCUAAAAGUCACGGUUAGUUCUUUGGGGAACUUGCGGUGCAAAACUAUUUAAAAAGAUACUUAAUUGUGCGCUGCAAUUAUACCCAAAAUUCAAUAUCCAUAUAAAUAACUCCUUGAACAAGAAUAAAUUUUUUUAGAACUCUCUGAUUUGUAGAACUAAUUCUAGAUGUGAGUUGAUUUGUUUACUUCCUAAUAUUUUUGUAUCUAAUUUCUUCAGAAAUUUUAAGUAUUAGUACCUCCCACAAUAUAAUCAGGUAAAACAUGAAUAAGCAACUAUAAUUCUACAAACAAUUCAUUUCCAUCAGAGUUAGGAACUUAGAAUGUGUAUCAUGUUCUAGUACAAGAAUCAGCUAAAAGAAAAACAAUCUGUGGUAAGAUGGUUGUUUCAAGUUACUAGUACUAGAAAGACCGGCCCCAAAAUCAUAAUGUUCAUUUAAUAACAUACGGAAAUAUUAGAUAUCUGUCUAAUUCAAAAGGUUCCCAUCACAGAGGACAAAGGACCCGACCUUUCUUAAUGUGAUGCAGAAAACUAACCACGUAUCUAUAAGCAAUUUUGUGAGGUGAACACCGACAUAAUCAAACCCCUUGGUGCUGCCUGAUGGCUGAUACAAUAUUGUUACUUGUAUUUGUAUAUGUUAUAUACAGACUACAGAUUCGUUAAUUUGCAAUAUCUUAUAAUCCAGAUAUUGAGUUUCUUGAUUUCUUCGAAUGGAAGACAGCAAAACAGCUGGUAAAUCCAUUCGAUGCAGGGGUAAGAUGUUCAAUCCCAAUGUACUUAACACACUUGUAUGUUACGUAAUAAUUUUUAUGAAACAAGAAUUGUGUUAUGACAUUUUCCGCCUAUGCAGUUCUCCGUGGAACUCAACUCUUAUAUAUUGUAUAAAUGUUUGCAUAGAUAUCAUGUGCAUGUACAAUAUGUUGAUUGUAUUGAAGUUUUAUGAUGGGCAGCUGCGGUUGCUCGGAAAGCAGGGGAGCCACUGAGCAUAGAAGAACUGAUGGUGGCUCCACCGGAAUCCGGUGAAGUCCGCAUUCGAGUUAUUUGCAGCUCCUUGUGCAACAGUGACGUUGCCUUCUGGAAAAUGAAAGUAAUUUUUUUUCCUUUUUAUUUUUACUUGCUGUAAGUUUGUAACUACGCGUAACACCAUCGGUUCAUCAUGCUAUGCUUAUUGUUACAAAUACAAUUUUCUGGCAACUCUUCUUUUUUUGCCGUUUCUAUUUGAAAUAAAAUAAAAUUGUGUUCAUGGUCAGGAUCCUCCAGGUUAUUUUCCCAGGAUACUUGGUCAUGAAUGUUUCGGGUACGUUUCUUUCAUUCUUUUUACUGUUUUUUUGCAUCUUCUGGCUCACAUAAACAUAAAUUUUGCAUAUUCUGUUAUAAUUUUUCAUAUCUCAAGUAUUUCUGUAUAAUCAAAAUCGGGCGAAUUCAAGUGCACAUUUACUUCUAUCUCAAUUUAGUAGUGCUUAAAUGGGGAUUUCGCCAAAUUUGCCCGAAUUUCUCAUGUGGAAUUCUAAUUCGACUACUGAGAGCAAUAAUUUGAUUUAAAUACAUUCCUGUAGUGUAAUCUUAUUUAUAUUGUCAUUCUUAUUCUCAUUGUCCUUCACAUUAACCGGAUUCUCACAAUAAAAACGACACCUUUGUACUGCAUAAAAUUCAAUCUGCAGUAGCAACAAUAUAAGUAAAUAGUAAAUAGUAAAUAGCAACAAACCUCCCUUUUAGUUAAUUUUACGAAAAAUCAAUUAUUUUUAUGAAGGUUUCGCUUGUUCAGUUUUAAGUCUCACAAAAAUUUAAUAGCAUGGUAGGCUAACAUUUUAAUCUGGGCUUCAACUAGUCACAAACAAAGUGGUUUGACUAUCUAACAUUCAUAUUUUGACAACUGAAGGGUUGUCGAGAGUAUUGGGGAGAAUGUAAGUGAGGUAACUGUUGGAGACGCUGUUAUCCCAGUUUUUAUGGCGGAUUGUGGAGAAUGUAGAGAUUGCAUAUCUAGCAAGAGCAACCUUUGCAGCAACUUCCCUUUUGAAGUUGUUCCCUGGAUGCAUAGAGACCAGAAAAGCAGAUUCACUGACCUUAAUGGAGAAACUUUGCAUCAUUUUUUACAUAUUUCAAGUUUCAGUGAGUACACGGUGGUGGAUACUGUUCACAUUGUUAAAGUUGAUUCGAAGAUCCCACCAGAUAGGGGAUGCC
rnacentral:lncRNA from 1 species